GAUGAACGCUGGCGGCGUGCCUAAUACAUGCAAGUCGAGCGAACAGACGAGGAGCUUGCUCCUCUGACGUUAGCGGCGGACGGGUGAGUAACACGUGGAUAACCUACCUAUAAGACUGGGAUAACUUCGGGAAACCGGAGCUAAUACCGGAUAAUAUAUUGAACCGCAUGGUUCAAUAGUGAAAGACGGUUUUGCUGUCACUUAUAGAUGGAUCCGCGCCGCAUUAGCUAGUUGGUAAGGUAACGGCUUACCAAGGCAACGAUGCGUAGCCGACCUGAGAGGGUGAUCGGCCACACUGGAACUGAGACACGGUCCAGACUCCUACGGGAGGUAGCAGUAGGGAAUCUUCCGCAAAGGGCGAAAGCCUGACGGAGCAACGCCGCGUGAGUGAUGAAGGUCUUCGGAUCGUAAAACUCUGUUAUUAGGGAAGAACAAAUGUGUAAGUAACUAUGCACGUCUUGACGGUACCUAAUCAGAAAGCCACGGCUAACUACGUG
rnacentral:rRNA from 1 species